rnacentral:rRNA from 1 species
GACAGAUGGGAGCUUGCUCCCUGAUGUUAGCGGCGGACGGGUGAGUAACACGUGGGUAACCUGCCUGUAAGACUGGGAUAACUCCGGGAAACCGGGGCUAAUACCGGAUGGUUGUUUGAACCGCAUGGUUCAAACAUAAAAGGUGGCUUCGGCUACCACUUACAGAUGGACCCGCGGCGCAUUAGCUAGUUGGUGAGGUAACGGCUCACCAAGGCAACGAUGCGUAGCCGACCUGAGAGGGUGAUCGGCCACACUGGGACUGAGACACGGCCCAGACUCCUACGGGAGGCAGCAGUAGGGAAUCUUCCGCAAUGGACGAAAGUCUGACGGAGCAACGCCGCGUGAGUGAUGAAGGUUUUCGGAUCGUAAAGCUCUGUUGUUAGGGAAGAACAAGUACCGUUCGAAUAGGGCGGUACCUUGACGGUACCUAACCAGAAAGCCACGGCUAACUACGUGCCAGCAGCCGCGGUAAUACGUAGGUGGCAAGCGUUGUCCGGAAUUAUUGGGCGUAAAGGGCUCGCAGGCGGUUUCUUAAGUCUGAUGUGAAAGCCCCCGGCUCAACCGGGGAGGGUCAUUGGAAACUGGGGAACUUGAGUGCAGAAGAGGAGAGUGGAAUUCCACGUGUAGCGGUGAAAUGCGUAGAGAUGUGGAGGAACACCAGUGGCGAAGGCGACUCUCUGGUCUGUAACUGACGCUGAGGAGCGAAAGCGUGGGGAGCGAACAGGAUUAGAUACCCUGGUAGUCCACGCCGUAACGAUGAGUGCUAAGUGUUAGGGGGUUUCCGCCCCUUAGUGCUGCAGCUAACGCAUUAAGCACUCCG